UACGUAGGGGGCGAGCGUUGUCCGGAUUUAUUGGGCGUAAAGAGCUCGUAGGCGGUUCGAUAAGUCGGACGUGAAAUCUCCACGCUCAACGUGGAGGGGUCAGCUGAUACUGCUGUGACUUGAGUCCGGUAGGGGAGUGUGGAAUUCCCGGUGUAGCGGUGAAAUGCGCAGAUAUCGGGAAGAACACCCGUGGCGAAGGCGGCUCUCUGGAACGGUACUGACGCUGAGACGCGAAAGCGUGGGGAGCGAACAGG
rnacentral:rRNA from 1 species